rnacentral:rRNA from 1 species
AGAGUUUGAUCAUGGCUCAGGACGAACGCUGGCGGCGUGCCUAAUACAUGCAAGUGGAACGCAUGAUUGAUACCGGAGCUUGCUCCACCAUUAAUCAUGAGUCGCGAACGGGUGAGUAACGCGUAGGUAACCUACCUCAUAGCGGGGGAUAACUAUUGGAAACGAUAGCUAAUACCGCAUAACAGUAUUUAUCACAUGGUAAAUGCUUGAAAGGAGCAAUUGCUUCACUAUGAGAUGGACCUGCGUUGUAUUAGCUAGUUGGUGGGGUAACGGCUCACCAAGGCAUCGAUACAUAGCCGACCUGAGAGGGUGAUCGGCCACACUGGGACUGAGACACGGCCCAGACUCCUACGGGAGGCAGCAGUAGGGAAUCUUCGGCAAUGGGGGGAACCCUGACCGAGCAACGCCGCGUGAGUGAAGAAGGUUUUCGGAUCGUAAAGCUCUGUUGUAAGAGAAGAACGUGUGUGAGAGUGGAAAGUUCACACAGUGACGGUAACUUACCAGAAAGGGACGGCUAACUACGUGCCAGCAGCCGCGGUAAUACGUAGGUCCCGAGCGUUGUCCGGAUUUAUUGGGCGUAAAGCGAGCGCAGGCGGUUUGAUAAGUCUGAAGUAAAAGGCUGUGGCUUAACCAUAGUAUGCUUUGGAAACUGUCAAACUUGAGUGCAGAAGGGGAGAGUGGAAUUCCAUGUGUAGCGGUGAAAUGCGUAGAUAUAUGGAGGAACACCGGUGGCGAAAGCGGCUCUCUGGUCUGUAACUGACGCUGAGGCUCGAAAGCGUGGGGAGCAAACAGGAUUAGAUACCCUGGUAGUCCACGCCGUAAACGAUGAGUGCUAGGUGUUGGGUCCUUUCCGGGACUCAGUGCCGCAGCUAACGCAUUAAGCACUCCGCCUGGGGAGUACGACCGCAAGGUUGAAACUCAAAUGA